UACAGGGGGUGCAAACGUUGCUCGGAAUCAUUGGGCGUAAAGCGCGCGCAGGCGGUUUCUUAAGUCUGAUGUGAAAGCCCACGGCUCAACCGUGGAGGGUCAUUGGAAACUGGGGAACUUGAGUGCAGAAGAGAAAAGCGGAAUUCCACGUGUAGCGGUGAAAUGCGUAGAUAUCGGGAGGAACACCAGUGGCGAAGGCGACUACCUGGCCUGUUCUUGACGCUGAGGCGCGAAAGUGUGGGGAGCAAACAGG
rnacentral:rRNA from 1 species